AGCGAACGCUGGCGGCAGGCCUAACACAUGCAAGUCGAACGAACCUUUCGGGGUUAGUGGCGGACGGGUGAGUAACACGUGGGAACGUGCCUUUAGGUUCGGAAUAACUCAGGGAAACUUGUGCUAAUACCGAAUGUGCCCUUCGGGGGAAAGAUUAAUCGCCCUUAGAGCGGCCCGCGUCUGAUUAGCUAGUUGGUUGAGGUAAUGGCUCACCAAGGCGACGAUCAGUAGCUGGUCUGAGAGGAUGAUCAGCCACAUUGGGACUGAGACACGGCCCAAACUCCUACGGGAGGCAGCAGUGGGGAAUCUUGCGCAAUGGGCGAAAGCCUGACGCAGCCAUGCCGCGUGAAUGAUGAAGGUCUUAGGAUUGUAAAAUUCUUUCACCGGGGACGAUAAUGACGGUACCCGGAGAAGAAGCCCCGGCUAACUUCGUG
rnacentral:rRNA from 1 species